GGCUCCGUGGUCAAGUGGUUAAGACAUCGCCCUUUCACGGCGGUAACACGAGUUCAAACCUCGUCGGAGUCA
rnacentral:tRNA from 2 species